UACAGAAGGGGCAAGCGUUGUUCGGAAUUACUGGGCGUAAAGCGUGCGCAGGCGGUUUGCUAAGACAGGUGUGAAAUCCCCGGGCUUAACCUGGGAACUGCGCUUGUAACUGGCAAGCUAGAGUGUGGCAGAGGGGGGUGGAAUUCCACGUGUAGCAGUGAAAUGCGUAGAGGUGUGGAGGAACACCGAUGGCGAAGGCAGCCCCCUGGGCUAACACUGACGCUCAUGCACGAAAGCGUGGGGAGCAAACAGG
rnacentral:rRNA from 1 species